UAAAGAGCUCGUAGGUGGUUUGUCGCGUUGUUCGUGAAAUCUCACGGCUUAACUGUGAGCGUGCGGGCGAUACGGGCAGACUUGAGUACUGCAGGGGAGACUGGAAUCCCUGGUGUAGCGGUGGAAUGCGCAGAUAUCAGGAGGAACACCGGUGGCGAAGGCGGGUCUCUGGGCAGUAACUGACGCUGAGGAGCGAAAGCGUGGGGAGCGAACAGGAUUAGAUACCCUGGUAGUCCACGCCGUAAACGGUGGGUACUAGGUGUGGGUUUCCUUCCUUGGGAUCCGUGCCGUAGCUAACGCAUUAAGUACCCCGCCUGGGGAGUACGGCCGCAAGGCUAAAACUCAAAGAAAUUGACGGGGGCCCGCACAAGCGGCGGAGCAUGUGGAUUAAUUCGAUGCAACGCGAAGAACCUUACCUGGGUUUGACAUGCACAGGACGCCGGCAGAGAUGUCGGUUCCCUUGUGGCCUGUGUGCAGGUGGUGCAUGGCUGUCGUCAGCUCGUGUCGUGAGAUGUUGGGUUAAGUCCCGCAACGAGCGCAACCCUUGUCUCAUGUUGCCAGCGGGUAAUGCCGGGGACUCGUGAGAGACUGCCGGGGUCAACUCGGAGGAAGGUGGGGAUGACAUCAAGUCAUCAUGCCCCUUAUGUCCAGGGCUUCACACAUGCUACAAUGGCCGGUACAAAGGGCUGCGAUGCCGCGAGGUUAAGCGAAUCCUUUUAAAGCCGGUCUCAGUUCGGAUCGGGGUCUGCAACUCGACCCCGUGAAGUCGGAGUCGCUAG
rnacentral:rRNA from 1 species